rnacentral:lncRNA from 1 species
AUUUUGAGUCUGCUACGUUUUUCUUCUAGAGUCUUCUGCUUCCUCUCACAUUAAUUAUUCACUGUGUAUUUUGACUGCACUUUGGUUUACAUUAUUGUUGUUGUUGCUGUUGCUUAGAGUUUCUAAGGGAAGGAGAUUGAAUUAAUUGGAAAGGAAAUAAUUUGAGGUGCUGAUCCCAAGUAUCAUUUGAUGAGAAACAUCACUAACCUGGUGCACAACCACUGGUGACAUUGGGACAGUCUGAAGCUGGAAAAAAUUAUUAUUUUAAACUAAUUGGAAAGUUUGGAUCCUGAAUGUGUAACUUAAAUUUUUUUACUCUUUUAGCUUACAAUAACAUCUUGAGAAAAACAUAUAUGGAUAAAAAUGUCAUUUUCUUGACCCUCCUCACUUCAUGCUUAUUUCCUGUCUUCUUGUUUGGAACAAUACCUGCAUAUGAUCUCUGUAUCCUAAAUAAUUUUCUGCUGUAUCAUUUCAGCUUUCAUCGAUGCAGAUGAGACUUUGGUGAGGCCUGAACUCCGGUGCUGCUGCCCCUGGAUAUCCCGGGAGUGAGAGAGCUGGGGGACAAGACCAGAAAUGCUGCAGUGAGAUGGAUAAUCUGGCCACCACCAGCACAGUUCUGAAACUGCAGUGAAAGUGUGCAGGUGAGUAAAGAAGCAGGCUGUGAUAUAUUUUUCUUAUUUGUGAUACCUGCUUUUUAAUUACAUGUUAGACAAAUGAGACCUAUCUCUUUCUUUGUCCGUUACCAUAAUUGCUCUGAAUAGAAAAAAAAAAAUUAAAUUGAGGUUCUUUAUGUAACUCAUGUGAUUAAAGCUUUCAGAUGUUACUGUAGGGUAGUAUGUAACCACACUGCUCUUUGCUGCAGCAUACGAUGCCAUUGCUACAUCUGUGCCACCACACUCCAGCUGGUCUAUUCUACUACAGUAGAUAGUCAGCCGAGCAUUGAAGCUGUCUGUGGGUUUAACCAAUGCAUUUUAAGUAAGAUGUGAAGAGUGCACCUUGAGACACAACCCAGUGCAACUACGUGGCAGUGCAGUUAGUUCGACUAGUAUAUAUUUUGGUGCAAACCUGUUUGUGGAUGGAGUUGGUUUGGUUCAGUUCGUGCUAAUCAACUUGAACUAGUUCAGGGCUUAGAAACCAGUAUAACUGGUUCACGUUGAAAAGUGAGCUGUUUGAAAGUGAGCGCAGGCUUUCGCUGUGGCCUUCCCCGAGGACGAUGCCUUGGCUCAGUCCCGCGGGGCCCUGGGGUCGGCAGGGUCCUUCGGUGCCUCUGCUGGGGGGGUACGUGGGGUCCCUGUGCCUGGGGGCCGG